UACGUAGGGGGCUAGCGUUGCUCGGAAUCACUGGGCGUAAAGCGCACGUAGGCGGAUUGCUAAGUCAGGUGUGAAAUCCUGGAGCUCAACUCCAGAACUGCCUUUGAUACUGGCGAUCUCGAGUCCGGGAGAGGUGAGUGGAACUGCGAGUGUAGAGGUGAAAUUCGUAGAUAUUCGCAAGAACACCAGUGGCGAAGGCGGCUCACUGGCACGGUACUGACGCUGAGGUGCGAAAGCGUGGGGAGCAAACAGG
rnacentral:rRNA from 1 species